rnacentral:lncRNA from 1 species
ACCUGUAUUUACCAAUGAACCAUCCACUUAUUUUUAUAAGUGAGUUUGCACAUGUAAAAUAUUUUGUAUUACAAAUAUAUAAUUUACACAAAAAAUAUAGGAUUCCUUCAAAGUAGCUCCGCCCCUGGAUAGGAGGUUUGAUCGAAAGUAAAAGAGAACUCUUGAAAAGAGGCUUCAUAUAUGUAAUCUGCUAACAUCUUCCCAAUUGCUUCCAAUUUUCACUUUCUUCAAGUGUAUGCUCCAAAGCUCCCAAAUAAGAAGCAAUGUAAAUAUUAGAAAAAUAUAUAACAACAUAAAUCAAUCUUGCAUAAUCAGUCAAUAGUUGUUCCUAUCUCCUUAAUACAAACAGCCACCAUCUCGCCAUUGCUCAACACAAAAAAUUUCACACGUUAUAAACUAAAAAUUAGUCUGAAAGUAAAUUACACAGAAGAGAUAGUGAGGAAUCCAAAACUCAAAAGAAGUGGUUAAUUGAAGCACAUGGUGGUUAGUGAGGAAGAAAAGAAAUGGAAGAUGUUUGGAAGAUAGAUUUAAUUUUAUUUCACAAAGUAACAUGGAAUUGUUUAAUUUAACAUCUUUAUUUUUUGGUAUAAACAACUUAGAAUAGAAGAUGUAGAUCGUAGGGAGCUUGCAAUUUUGAUCUACAUCUUCUAUACAAAGUUGUUUAUAUCAAAAAAGAAAAGAUACUAAACUAUUCUAUUUUACUUUGUGAAUGAGACUAGAUCUAUCUUCAAAACAUCUACGACUCCUUUCCAUCCAUACUAACCACCAUAUGUAUAAUGGUAUUAGAUUCCACCACUUCUAUUGAAUCUUGGAUCCCCCUCUCCUUUGUGUAAUUUUCUUUUGCACUAGUUAUUAGUUUAUAAUGAGUGUGAUCUUUUCAGUUAAGCAGUGGAGAGAAGGUGGCUGCUGGAUUAAGGAAAUAAGAAUAUGACAAAGUUCUUUUUUUUUUUUCUUCUAUUCCAUUAUUUGAAACACAAAAUUGAUGCGAGUAAGAAAUUUUGAAUUUAAAGGAAUUGAAAAUUUCGAAAGUGAAUUGUCUUAAAAGAAUUUUGGUCUACAUACACUGCAAUACUAAUAGUUUAUAAAAAUCAAGACUCGAACCUGCUUCAAGGAGAUGGGAACGCCAGAAAAGCAACCACACCACAUUUAGCCCAAUAGAUUGCUA